rnacentral:misc_RNA from 1 species
UUAAAAAUUGGUAAAAGUCUUAAUUUUUGUAUAAAAUAUGCAUUUGUUCAGGUUGUGAAUUCGCUGUCACAGCCGGAAUGGAAUCUUCUUCUUCCAGUAAUUGCCUCCAUCAACAGGUUGAUGCUCCACCAUUCAGGAAGGAAAUUACCUACCUAUGCUUACCUUGUGUAAGAGGAAUUGCGUUUAUGACGAAAUCUAAAAUAAGACGAGUCGAGAUCUACAUAUCUGUUUAUGAAACAGUCAAGAUUCGUGAUGAUAAUAUACCCAAGCUGUUCCAGUGGUUGUUUGGGGUGGGGGCAUUCCUGGCUGUGUGGCUGAGCCUCGUGCUGAAUUAUGUAGAGACAGACUUUUCCACAUCACAUAAAGGUGUCGUACUGUUUCUCCCGUUGUAUUUGUUAAUAACUUUUGCAUGCGUCUCCUUGGCCAUUAUAGGAUACAGAGUGGCCACGUUCAACGACAGUGUCCAGGCCUCAGAGGAAUUACAGCAGCAAAUUGAGGAAGCCAAAGCCGACCUGAAGAAAAAGGGCUUCAAGUUUGUAGAGUCCUGACAACCAUGAAUCUCCUAUUGGCGUCCUUGUGAAAGGGGAGGUAAUCUCUGUCCUCCUCACUCUGGAACUGAGACAGGCUGUAUCUCCUCCAAGAUUGAUAUUCAGGUCACAGAAAUUGAUAUAUAUUCAUAUGUUCAUGAUUGAUUGGUGGCAGGUCCUUGUUGUAUGAAUGUAUGUUUAAGAUGUAUUAACUCAUUCACCCCUAAAAUUUCAUAAUGAACUAUUCCUACCUUUGAAUUGGAAGAGUUCAAAUGUGUCUUCAGGGAUGAAUGAGUUAACAGUGAGGACAUUAGGUAUAUUAGGGUUGAAUCGUUUGUAUAUCAGGGGUGUGAAAAUCAUGUGUGUUAUAUUGAUCAGGGGAAGAGUACUUAAUGUGGAAAUGAGAAAUAUCUUUGUGUAAAGAAUAGCGUUGCAUGCUUACCUGAAAUGGAUGUUUUCUCAGCUUUCUUGAAUGCAAACAGUUUUGAUAUCUGACCAGUUAUCAUAUUUUAUUUAAUUCAGGUGGCAAAUCCAUUCAGUAAAAAUGCAUAUUAUAUUCAAUAUUAUACAGAAUGUAUACUUAAAAGACAGUAUUUAACUUUUGCCAUUUACUGAAAUAAUGUAGGAAGAGAAUAAAUCAAUUUUAUUUUCAAAUCUAUAUAAAUCAGUGUCAUCCUGUUAUGACCGACCAGGUUUUCUAAUAUGAGGUAAUGAUGUGAAGAUUGGUUUGAAAUCUGUUUACAUUCUAGAAAACAUGGACAAUGUAGGAGGUGACUGAGGUCAAGGAUGAGUGUGACACAAGUCAAGAAUGUAAGAGGUGACUGAGGUCAAGGAUGAAUGUGACACAAGUCAAGAAUGUAAGAGGUGACUAGAGUCAAGGAUGAAUGUGACAACAAGUCAAGAAUGUAGAGGUGACUAGAGACAAGGAUGAAUGUGACAACAAGUCAAGAAUGUAAGAGGUGACUGAGGUCAAGGAUGAAUGUGAUACAAGUCAAGAAUGUAGGAGGUGACUGAGGUCAAGGAUGAGUGUGACACAAGUCAAGAAUGUUAAAGUGACCGAGGUCAAGGAUGAAUGUGACACAAGUCACAAAUGUAAGAGGUGACUGAGGUCAAGGAUGAAUGUGACACAAGUCACGAAUGUAAGAGGUGACUGAGGUCAAGGAUGAAUGUGACAGAAGAAAAGAAUGUAAGAGAUGACUGAGAUCAAGGAUGAAUGUGAUAAAGAAUUAAUGAGACAACAGAAUUCAAGAAUGAAUCAUGUUUCUCAAGUCUCGAAUGAAUGAGGUGAUCAGAGUCUGAGAGGAUUUGACAUCUACAAAAUGUUAUAUAAUAACCAGUGCAAUGGAUUUGGUUGAGCAGCUGUAUUCCUUAAUAUUCAAUUACCGGUAUAUAUAGGGUAAAAAUGUUAAUCUUAUUGUUUUGGGAAUUGUACUGUAAAUCAGAGUUGGCAUACUCCUGAGGUACAACACACCUGGGCGUGGCACAGAUCCCUAACCCCACAGUCUAUAUAUGUGUAAUAGGCAUCAAAUAAAACACAUAUAAACUGACCGUUGGGUGGUGGAUCUGUGCGUCACCCCUGUGGUUCAACAUAUUAUAUUGUACUCUAUGGCCAAGAUUUGGUCUUGUACUGUAUUGGCAAAGUUAAUUUUUCUAUAUCGAGUAAAUUCACUUCACCUUUAAAUACAACAAAUUCAUGUAAAAACAUAUAAUGCCAUGUACUACAUAUGUAUGUAUUUAAAACUCACUUUUAAUCAUCAUAGAUUGCCAGACACUAUCAUGUCUGUUCUAUAUCUAAUCUGUAUAUAAAUAUAAAGGAAAAGUACAAUAAAUUAUUGAUUGAA